rnacentral:rRNA from 1 species
UACGUAGGGGGCAAGCGUUGUCCGGAAUUAUUGGGCGUAAAGAGCGUGUAGGCGGUCCGGUAAGUCAGCUGUGAAAGUCAAGGGCUCAACCCUUGAAAGCCGGUUGAUACUGUCGGGCUAGAGUCCGGAAGAGGCGAGUGGAAUUCCCAGUGUAGAGGUGAAAUUCGUAGAUAUCGGGAGGAACACCAGAUGCGAAGGCGGUUCUCUGGAAAUUAUCUGACGCUGAGAAGCGAAAGCGUGGGGAGCAAACAGG